AGACCCAAUCCUGCACUAUCAAAGUUAACUGAAAUUCUUUGACUUCAGUGGUAGCAGAACUGGUUACUCAGGGAAUCAAUGCAGUUUUGGGGAUGCAGGAUCAGGCCCUUAAUUUGAUCUCAAUUUCAGAAUUUGACUUUAUGCUUCACUUGUUUUUCAUCCUGCGCUCUACAGAAGCUCUUCAAUAACGCUGUCCUUGACACAUAGCGUUUGAAGUCUUCUGUCUUAAAAUAACAAAAACAAAAAACUUUUGGCUUAUUCUUAAUGAUUUGUGUAUCUAUAACUAUACAAAUCAUCUUCACCACACUAGGAAAAGAGCCAAAUUCUUUUCAACUGUUCAUAUUGAUGUGUUGAAAAAAAUGUUGAUAAGUUUAUAUAGUCUAUUGCUGGCAACAGGUUUGUCAGGCCACAGUGAUCACAGCUGUUUAGGGUGCAGUCACAGGGUGGCACUAGCCUUUUAAGAGGGAGCAGGGUCAGCGCACCUUGUGCCGGGUCAGAUGAUCCAGAUUAGGCUUUAAAAGAGGGUACCUGGGCCUGGGAAAGGAAGAGACCUGGUGAAUUAGGGCUGGUAGAGUCCCCUAACGGGAGACAGGGAGAACCUGAAAGGAACUGUUUAGAAAAAGGGCCUCCAGGGAGAAAAGCCCUGGGUGGCUGUGCUCAGGGGGAACAGGACACAUGAGCAGGAACAGCAAAAUUGACAGACACACCUGGGAGAGGAGGCUGUGAGAGCCUGAGAGGUAAAGGGGAAAAGUAUCCUGUUAGUAAAAGCCAGGGUGAGCUGAAGAACUGUUUUUGGUUUUUUGGACAAUAAAACUGCUGAAGAGAGACUAUGUCUUUGAGAGAGGACAUGGAAAGAGCAUUCACAUAAGUGACCCAAGUUUUUUUUUUUAACCUAACUCACUACCUCUGAAUGAAUCUGUGCAAACAGUCAUGGGAUGUUGUUAUGAAACGUUUGUGAGAUCUGUUGUGGGGAGAAGGCCUGCCUUGUUACAUGUCCAUUUGAAACAAAAAUUAGUAAUUUAUAAUUAUUGUAUUUAUUUUGCAUAUACAUCCAUCUGGCCCACGUUCUUGGCACUGUACAGAAUAUAAAAUACCACCCUCUGAAAACAUAAGCACAUUAAAAUUAAUGAGAGGAUCCAACUUAAAAAAAGGGGAUAUGAAAAGGAGUGGAAGGUGUGUAUAAAUAUGGAUCAAGGCUGAUCAUUCUAAAACUGCUUUGCGGAGAAAAAUGGUUUUAAGGUGAUUUUUUCAAAAGUAGGUUGGGACAAAAUAAAACAGAUGACUGUGCAGAGAGUGGUCCACACUGUUGGGCCAUGCACAGCAAAAAGCAUGACCAUGACCUGAUUGCAGAUGUGAUACUGGGACCCUGAACAGUGUGCACAGUGUGGCUGCAGACUGUGUUCCUCAUCCUGCAACCUGUUUCAUGGGGCAGUCACAUGUCCAUACAGAACUCCGGUGAAGUGACACAAGGAUUUGCCCACACUGAACAAAUUGUAGUAUGAGGACCACUGUCAGUAAAAAAGCUUACAGAGUAGGUAGCCGCUAAGGAAUUUAAAACUAACAGAGCCAAUUUAAAUUAAUUGAUCUACUUCAUAGACAACCAGUAUAAAAAAGUUGGGGAUAGGCACAGUGUAGCUAUGGUCGCUUAUACAAGUGAACAAUCAGAUUGAUGCAUUCUGGACAAGCUGCAAAUGGCUGAAGUUUUAUGAAGAAAGAAUUAAAAUAAUCACACAUUGCUUCUGUGAAGAAUAUCAUGUGAUAAAGGUGCAGUCGAUAGAAUUUAUGAGGCAGAAGACAGAAACUAUGUGUUUAUAUCAAGUCUGACAUCUUUUUCCAUGGAAAGAGCAUUCACAUAAGUGACCCAAGUUUUUUUUUUUAACCUAACUCACUACCUCUGAAUGAAUCUGUGCAAACAGUCAUGGGAUGUUGUUAUGAAACGUUUGUGAGAUCUGUUGUGAAAUGCUGCAUAAAAAGUAAAUAUUAUCCAGAGCUCAGUAGAGAGGUUUAUUCUUGAAUGAGGACAUGCACAAAAUCACAGGAGUUGACUGCUUUUUAUCUGCAAUGGUUUAAGUUAAAAUUUAAAAAGCUGUAUUCUUUAUCCUCAGCAUUUAAGGCCAGAUUCUGAUCUGAACAAUAGCAACCUAAAUUCAGACUAGUUCCAUUGUACUGCAAAGUAUCUAUUGCAGAUCACUCAGAGCAGAAACUUAUCACUUUCAUGUUGAGAAGAAAGAUGCAUUUUUGAGUCUGCCAUGAAGCUUUAUUAAACACUUUAAAUACUUUAUUAAGUAAAUACUCUACUUUAUUAAACACUGUACUUUAAAGUUUUUUAAUACAUUACUCAUUAAAUAACCCAUAUCUUAUGUAGAGGCUUUCAUACAAAAGUAUCACAAAACACUCAGUGACUUCUUUAUCCUUUCUUUACUAUGUGCCAAGUCCUAAAGCCAAAGGCACACACUGGUAGUAGUAUUUCACAUUUGCAGAGUGAGAAACAGAUCCUACUUGAGUCACGCUUGUAAGGGAUCAGAAAUAGGCUGCCCUCCAGAAACCUUAAUUGCACAGUUAUAGGUUCAGUAGCCCAGGUUUAUUCAGGUUGCUGCAUGUUAUGAUAGUAUAGAAUGCUGACAGAUCCCCUUCCUUACCUUGCAGUUGCUCCUGAUCUGUAACAUCGCACUGAAUGAAAAGAGUCCUCUGAGCUUCAAACUGCUCAUCCAGGGCAGCUUUGCUCUCCUCACCGGCUUCGAGGUUCCGAUCCACAAGAGCCACCUGUGCCAGGAGGAGGGCGGGGGUGAUGCACGUGAGAGGAAUGAACACAGGCAAGGAAAAGUUAGAGGAACAUACCAUACAGCCCUCUCCCAGCCGAGGAAGAGACGUGUCUAAGGCCCCUCUUGCUCCAACCUGCACACCCCAGCUGCACGCUCCGCGGGAAGGAAAACUUGCCCGGGAAGGGGCCCGAAGCCGGGAGAGCAGCAGGUAACAUACAAGCUCAAUAACAAAGACAAAGCAAAGAAAAGUGCACACUGAAUUGAACAAAGGGACACUUCAACAUUGCUGUUGCAUGCCACUGCAUACACUUGAUGGAACAACAGAUAUGUUCUGGAUCUCCAUAUGUAAAUAAAAUCAGUCUCUGUGACCAAAAAGACAGAACUAAUUUGUGAUGGUCAUUAUACACUUACUACAAUCCACUGUCACAUCGAGAACCAGGUGGUCCACCACUGUGAAGCAGGACAUAAGAGGAUCUGUCUGCGCAGUUGUCUGCCCACCACUGGGAUUCAUGGAUGCACGAGUCCACCUGUAUAGAUCAGACUGCAGGAUCAGGGCCUUUGUCUGAGAGAAGUGCAGUUAAUCUUCCCUCAAAAUGUCCACCUCUACCCAGAACACUCUUCAGAGAGAUGACCUUUUAUGACUCCUCCAAUGCAAUCAGGGUGUUCCGGGUGUAUGAAGGCAGCAGUAGGCCUGAACAGGGUUGAACAUGGCAAGAAUCGAAGGUGCUUUAAGAACAAAAGUUUUAUAAAGUAAGUGUUUUUAAUUCUUAAAGUUCAGAUCAAAUAAAUUAAAGUGGUAGACUUGAAUAGUCAUUUGUCUGUUUCUAUCACAAACAUCUGUGCACUUUUCUUCAUGCUUCCCUUUUAUGCAUGGAAUGUUCUCCAGGAAUCUAUCCUUAAGGGCAUUAUGCACUCCUUCAAAUCCAUCCUCGCAACCUACUUCUGCUAUGAUAUCUAUCAGGAAGGCAACAAUGACUAGGAUACAUGACAUGUUGGUUUAGAUGACUUGAAUGGAAGUAAGAUUGGACAUAAAUAAUACACACACAUAAAUAGUCUUUUUCUGUACUUUCCCAUGAGAGUUGGAUUGAGCCUUCAAAAACAAAAUCAUCUUUAAAUAAUUUGGAACCAAAGUUAAGAUCUCACAGCUGUAAUCAUUAUCUCCAUUACAAUUGUCUCCCUACCUCCAUCCUCCUUUUGUUCAUCAAACUCACUUGUUUCAAUUGGUCUCAAAUUAGACUGUAAGGCCUUCAAGGAAAGGAUUUCAUUUUCAUAUGUUUCCAUGCAUCUAGCACAAGGGGGCUAGUUGUGACUGGGAGCUAUUACUAGAACUAGUUGAUGAUAAAUGGUAAAUAUUUUUGUGAAAAUUGUCAAUUUUUUUAAUUAAAAUGAAUUUUGAAUUUUUCAACCAGUUCUAACUACCACAAUAUAAAUCACAAUAAUGUCCAGAUUCUGUUUUUUGCCAAAAUCUAGAUGUAAAAAUUGUUUCAUCUUGAAAAAUGUUGCAGACAGUUUAGAGUAAAUUAUAGAUUUGCAGUAUUAAAAAUUAAAACAGUCGAAGCUUUGGGCCACAUGCUUUGCCUGUGCAGAAAAACCUAAGUAGGGCCUAGACAACACUGAUUCCACAAACGGAAAGUCAUUGUGUUAGGAAGUACCCUAUGGAACUGGUAAAGAUCCAUCCCUGUAAACCUGUCAGGGUCCCAAGAUUGUAGAUGGACAGAAUUGUCUAAAAGGCUUUUUCAUCCCUAAAGUCUCUGCUUCUAUAAUCUACCUACGUAUAACACAGAACAGAAUGGCAGUUCUAAAUCAUAAGAGCGGAUUUAAAGGCCUGUUGUUUGAACACCUAUCCUGGUAUUUAAUUUCUCUUCAUUCUCCCAUUGUUGAGUUCCUGGUUAAAUAAAGGUCACUGAAAGCUGUUUUCUUUAUAUGAUGCAUCUUGAAGAAAGAAGUCAAAUAAAAUCUAAUCCCUGAGAAUCCGUGAUUGUUAACCUUUGCCAAAUGAGUCAAAAUGUACACUAAACUUUAUAAUAACUGGCUACAGUAGCUGAGUGGGAAACUGAUAGGCAGAAACCAGCAUAACAGUAUUAAAGUGUAUUUGUUAAUUUACUAAAUACAAUUGCACAUAAAUUCCAUAUUUAGAAAAUGUACUGAAAAAAUCAUGUUUGUUUGAAAGACUGUUUAACUCUGUUUUAAUCCAGAAGACUUCAAUUAUUUUUGUUAGCAGUGUUAGUGAUCUAUCAAACGUUUUCUCAAGGAGCAAUGUCCUUUUUAUAGUUGCCCAACAAGAAAGUGUUAAAUAAGGCUGUAAGAAAAGGGAUACUGGCAGAGUUGUCUCCAGACCUGCAAGCCAGAAUUAAAUCCGGAGGUGGGUUUGGAGUCCACUUCCCUGGAGGUGGAUAUAAGCACUAGCCAAUAGAUCCUCUGCUCACCAGCCACACCAAGCAUCAAUGUCAAUUGCAAAUAGAACUGCCUGCCUUCCCUUAUAGAAAAAAUUGACUUCAAUAGAAAAGACACAAACAAAUUCUGGGGAUGGAAAAAUGCAGUAAGCAGAAGGGCUACGUAGAUUUAUUUAUUUUAUUUUAUUUUACACCACUGAAAUUAAAC